CAGGGUUUGACAUCUAUGGAAUCUCCUAGAAAUAGGAGAGUGCCUUCGGGAACCAUAAGACAGGUGUUGCACGGUCGUCGCCAGCUCGUGCUAUGAAGUGUCCCGUUAAGUCGGUUAACGAGCGCAACCCCUGCUGUUUGUUGAAUUUUUCAAACAGGACUGCCGGCGUUAAGUCGGAGGAAGGUGGGGAUGACGUCAGAUCAGCGUGGCUCUUACACCCUGGGCGACACACGUGUUACAAUGGAUAGUUACAAAGGGUUGCUAAACAGCAAUGUGGAGCUAAUCCCAUAAACCUAUCCCCAGUUCGGAUUGAGGGCUGCAACUCGCCCUCAUGAAGUUGGAAUCGCUAGUAAUCGUGGGUCAGCCAUACCACGGUGAAUACGUUCU
rnacentral:rRNA from 1 species